rnacentral:tRNA from 1 species
UCCCUGGCGGUCCAGUGGUUAGGACUCUGCACUUUUACUGCCGAGGUCCCAGGUUCAAUCCCUGGUCGGGGAA